UCUGUGUUUUGAGCUGAUAACAACAGCCGCCGAUGAAACGUCGUUGUCUGUGGACAAGGUCAAGAAAUGGAUUGGCAACAAAGUUGCUUCUGUCAAAAGAAAAUGUCAAUCUAAUAAUUCAGAGUCACCCCUACCCUCAUGUAAUCCACCAAAAGUCCCCAAACCACCACCCAGAUUACGGCGGUCAAGCGGACAUAAUCAAUUUUGCUCAGAAUUUUCUAAAUCAGAUGAAGUAAAGGGACUGUCUCACCUGAGUGAAAACAAUAAAUUGGCUUCUGUCAAAUGGAUUGGUCUUUGAGAAUCUGAGCAAAAUAAAUACAUACAGAAAGCUAAUGACAUGAAAAACAACCCAGUGACAUUAGAUGAUGCUCAAAGAACAAAUAUGGUUGAUCAGCAUAUGAAAUUUUUAGCUGAGAAGUUCAAUUACUUGGAGUAUCUUGGUUGCCAGGCCAGCUGCUUACUAGUGAAUGGAAAAAAAUAACUUUAUGUCCUUGGUUCAUCAGGAGGAAAAAGAUUUGUUCACAAUAAACCAGCAGUUUUGCGCAAGUUUCAAGCAAUGUUUGAUGUAGACCGAGAAAAACAGAAAUGGACUCAUGAAGAUGUAAGAAUGCUCUUUAACAAGAAGUAUAGUGAAGCAAAAGGUGUGACUGGUUCUCGCGUUCCAUAUCUUUCUGGUGGUUUUCAUGUUGAAGGACUACCAGAUGACAUUCGCCUAAAGAAGCCACGGCAAUAUAGCUCAAAGGAAAUACAGAAAAUCAUGGACUGCCAGGACAGUAUUUCCUUCAUUCUUGAAGCGUCAGAAGGUGCACCUUUGCAAGAUUUUGGUGAAGACUGCAAGGAAUUACUUAGUAAUGUAUUCGGAAAAUGUGACUUUAAAGUAUCAAAAGAAGAUGUGGAGGUAUUGGAUAUUAAUACCUCAUAAAAUUUCUGAAACCGAAGAAAUAAUAUCAACUCACUGGAAAGUGUUAUGUCCAGAAGCUUUGAGAGAGUUAAAAAAAAAUUGAAUGCAUAUGUGUCUCAGGCAAAUCAUUUCGUUUUGCCUGCGUACUGUGAUUAUGAAGAAAGUCAGUUCUGGCUUUUUUCAUUUACGGGAUCUCUACAAGCUCUGCAGCAGAUAAGAGCAAGAGGUAAAUUGACAGGAUGUUGGCUAAAUCAUGAGUCAGGCAAUACCUUCCAUCUUAUUAAGAAAAAAGAAACAAUCUUUGGAAAAAAUACUAUUAAGGACAAUGGCAAUGUAAUUUUUGAGACUCAUAGGUUUACUGAUUAUUCCCAAACCUUCAUAUUGAACAAGUCCUUUGAAAGGAAAAUUACUCAAAUUUUAUCACAACAGGGAUAUAUAUAGUUUUCAAUUUUCCACCAAUUAAAAAAAAUUUCAUUGUUUACAAUGGUAACAGGUAGCACUGCAAAAUGUGCAUUGUAAUCAACUCAGUUUUUAGUUUUAGUUGGAUUGAACAUGGUUUUUUAAAAGAUAAUAUUUUUCUAUUCACAUGUAAGCCAUGCAGAAUGUCUAAUUCUAUAAUUAAAAUUUCAAAAUUAAAGCCCAAAAGUAAAAACUACAUUUUAUAGAAAAAUAUUUUUUUUAAGGGGGGGGGUUCUACCUUUCACCAACACAAAGACAUGCACAAUUCACUGAAUAGGCAAAUAAGAUAUCAUAUUUGUAAAAUUAACUGUAAUAAUUCAGAUACUUUUGCAUUAGCAAAAAAAAUGUAUGUUUGUACAA